rnacentral:tRNA from 1 species
GCCCGGGUGGCGAAAUUGGUAGACGCAAGGGACUUAAAAUCCCUCGGUAGAAAUACCGUACCGGUUCGAUUCCGGUCCCGGGCACCA